rnacentral:rRNA from 1 species
UUGAACGCUGGCGGCAGGCCUAACACAUGCAAGUCGAGCGGUAACACAGAGAGCUUGCUCUCGGGUGACGAGCGGCGGACGGGUGAGUAAUGUCUGGGAAACUGCCUGAUGGAGGGGGAUAACUACUGGAAACGGUAGCUAAUACCGCAUAACGUCGCAAGACCAAAGUGGGGGACCUUCGGGCCUCAUGCCAUCAGAUGUGCCCAGAUGGGAUUAGCUAGUAGGUGGGGUAACGGCUCACCUAGGCGACGAUCCCUAGCUGGUCUGAGAGGAUGACCAGCCACACUGGAACUGAGACACGGUCCAGACUCCUACGGGAGGCAGCAGUGGGGAAUAUUGCACAAUGGGCGCAAGCCUGAUGCAGCCAUGCCGCGUGUGUGAAGAAGGCCUUCGGGUUGUAAAGCACUUUCAGCGGGGAGGAAGGCGGUGAGGUUAAUAACCUCACCGAUUGACGUUACCCGCAGAAGAAGCACCGGCUAACUCCGUGCCAGCAGCCGCGGUAAUACGGAGGGUGCAAGCGUUAAUCGGAAUUACUGGGCGUAAAGCGCACGCAGGCGGUCUGUCAAGUCGGAUGUGAAAUCCCCGGGCUCAACCUGGGAACUGCAUUCGAAACUGGCAGGCUAGAGUCUUGUAGAGGGGGGUAGAAUUCCAGGUGUAGCGGUGAAAUGCGUAGAGAUCUGGAGGAAUACCGGUGGCGAAGGCGGCCCCCUGGACAAAGACUGACGCUCAGGUGCGAAAGCGUGGGGAGCAAACAGGAUUAGAUACCCUGGUAGUCCACGCCGUAAACGAUGUCGAUUUGGAGGUUGUGCCCUUGAGGCGUGGCUUCCGGAGCUAACGCGUUAAAUCGACCGCCUGGGGAGUACGGCCGCAAGGUUAAAACUCAAAUGAAUUGACGGGGGCCCGCACAAGCGGUGGAGCAUGUGGUUUAAUUCGAUGCAACGCGAAGAACCUUACCUGGUCUUGACAUCCACAGAACUUUCCAGAGAUGGAUUGGUGCCUUCGGGAACUGUGAGACAGGUGCUGCAUGGCUGUCGUCAGCUCGUGUUGUGAAAUGUUGGGUUAAGUCCCGCAACGAGCGCAACCCUUAUCCUUUGUUGCCAGCGGUUAGGCCGGGAACUCAAAGGAGACUGCCAGUGAUAAACUGGAGGAAGGUGGGGAUGACGUCAAGUCAUCGUGGCCCUUACGACCAGGGCUACACACGUGCUACAAUGGCAUAUACAAAGAGAAGCGACCUCGCGAGAGCAAGCGGACCUCAUAAAGUAUGUCGUAGUCCGGAUUGGAGUCUGCAACUCGACUCCAUGAAGUCGGAAUCGCUAGUAAUCGUAGAUCAGAAUGCUACGGUGAAUACGUUCCCGGGCCUUGUACACACCGCCCGUCACACCAUGGGAGUGGGUUGCAAAAGAAGUAGGUAGCUUAACCUUCGGGAGGGCGCUUACCACUUUGUGAUUCAUGACUGGGGUG